rnacentral:rRNA from 1 species
GACGAACGCUGGCGGCGUGCUUAACACAUGCAAGUCGAACGGAAAGGCCCUGCUUUUGUGGGGUGCUCGAGUGGCGAGCGGGUGAGUAACACGUGAGUAACCUGCCCUUGACUUUGGGAUAACUUCAGGAAACUGGGGCUAAUACCGGAUAGGAGCUCCUGCUGCAUGGUGGGGGUUGGAAAGUUUCGGCGGUUGGGGAUGGACUCGCGGCUUAUCAGCUUGUUGGUGGGGUAGUGGCUUACCAAGGCUUUGACGGGUAGCCGGCCUGAGAGGGUGACCGGCCACAUUGGGACUGAGAUACGGCCCAGACUCCUACGGGAGGCAGCAGUGGGGAAUAUUGCACAAUGGGCGGAGGCCUGAUGCAGCCACGCCGCGUGCGGGAUGACGGCCUUCGGGUUGUAAACCGCUUUCGCCUGUGACGAAGCGUGAGUGACGGUAAUGGGUAAAGAAGCACCGGCUAACUACGUG